GGGUAAGUGAUUGCUUCUACACUGUGAAAAUUUGGCUGAUAGACUCAGACUGGUCAUGGGUAGACCUAUCUGGGGUUUGAUCGAUGCCACUCCUGGUUUCAGGAGCACCCUUCAUAAUAAACCUAGAAAUUCAGUAUUAUAAAGUUUAAUAAAAAACAACUUUUAACAAUGGAUCUCUUGGUUCUCGCAUCGAUGAAGAACGUAGCAAAGUGCGAUAACUAGUGUGAAUUGCAUAUUCAGUGAAUCAUCGAGUCUUUGAACGCAGCUUGCACUCUAUGGUUUUUCUAUAGAGUACGCCUGCUUCAGUAUCAUCACAAACCCACACAUAACAUUUGUUUAUGUGGUAAUGGGUCGCAUCGCUGUUUUAUUACAGUGAGCACCUAAAAUGUGUGUGAUUUUCUGUCUGGCUUGCUAGGCAGGAAUAUUACGCUGGUCUCAGGAUCUUUUUCUUUGGUUCGCCCAGGAAGUAAAGUACAAGAGUAUAAUCCAGCAACUUUCAAACUAUGAUCUGAAGUCAGGUGGGAUUACCCGCUGAACUUAAGCAUAU
rnacentral:rRNA from 1 species